UACGUAGGGUGCGAGCGUUGUCCGGAAUUAUUGGGCGUAAAGGGCUCGUAGGCGGUCUGUCGCGUCGGGAGUGAAAACUCAGGGCUUAACCCUGAGCCUGCUUCCGAUACGGGCAGACUAGAGGUAGGUAGGGGAGAAUGGAAUUCCUGGUGUAGCGGUGAAAUGCGCAGAUAUCAGGAGGAACACCGGUGGCGAAGGCGGUUCUCUGGGCCGUACCUGACACUGAGGAGCGAAAGCGUGGGGAGCGAACAGG
rnacentral:rRNA from 1 species